rnacentral:rRNA from 1 species
CCUACGGGAGGCAGCAGUGAGGAAUAUUGGUCAAUGGGCGCUAGCCUGAACCAGCCAAGUAGCGUGAAGGAUGACUGCCCUAUGGGUUGUAAACUUCUUUUAUAUGGGAAUAAAGUGCAGUAUGUAUACUGCUUUGCAUGUACCUUAUGAAUAAGGAUUGGCCAACUCCGGGCCAGCAGCCGCGGUAAUACGGAGGAUCCGAGCGUUAUCCGGAUUUAUUGGGUUUAAAGGGAGCGUAGGCGGGUUGUUAAGUCAGUUGUGAAAGUUUGCGGCUCAACCGUAAAAUUGCAGUUGAUACUGGCAGCCUUGAGUACGGUAGAGGUAUGCGGAAUGCGUGGUGUAGCGGUGAAAUGCAUAGAUAUCACGAAGAACGCCGAUUGCGAAGGCAGCCUGCUGGACUGUGACUGACGCUGAUGCUCGAAAGUGUGGGUAUCAAACAGGAUUAGAUACCCUUGUAGUC